UACGGAGGGUGCAAGCGUUAUCCGGAUUCACUGGGUUUAAAGGGUGCGUAGGUGGGCAGGUAAGUCAGUGGUGAGAUCUCUGGGCUUAACUCAGAAACUGCCAUUGAUACUAUCUGUCUUGAAUACCGUGGAGGUCAGCGGAAUAUGUCAUGUAGCGGUGAAAUGCUUAGAUAUGACAUAGAACACCAAUUGCGAAGGCAGCUGGCUACACGAAUAUUGACACUGAUGCACGAAAGCGUGGGGAUCAAACAGG
rnacentral:rRNA from 1 species